AUGUGAUGCUUGAGUUGGAUCACCUAGACAUUGGAUGUAUAUCCAUUUGCCCUUAGUAAUAAACAACAUUAAAUUGUGUUCAGAUUGGAUAUGUACUGCAGCAAAACUAAUAGGCAAGGUACUUUCAGCUAAACAUGUAAUAAAAUAUUAAAAUAAGUUAAUUGUAGUGUUCUCAUGGCUAUUUGAUAUAUAAGAGCAAUCAAUGCUGUGACUGAAUUAGGUUUGGAGAUAUUGGUUGACUAUUUGAAUAGUAUUUUGCUGAGGUAGUAAGUUACAGUAUGGCGGGCUGGAGGGAUACUUGUAGUGAGCAAAUGAGGGCCUGGAAUAUAUAUUUCUGUUGAGUCAUGACAAGUCGAGGUUGUCAAACUGGAAACUGUGUUAUUGACCUUCAAGUCAAAUUAGGUUUUGUUUCAUCAUUAUUUGAUAAUCUCAUUAGAUUAAUUAAGCCAAUUGAUGGGCAAUUGCUCGAUGUGGAGUAGCUUCUUUUUCUUGUAUACAUAUUGGAAUCCUUUGAUUUGGACCACCUCAACUCCGAAUUCACUAUACUUACAUAAUCUGGACAAUCGAUUUUUCCUUAUAAUGAAUCACGUUAGAAUGACAUGCUAUUGAUUUCUGUGGAGCUUGCAGGUUGUUUUUAUUUGGCCAUAACGUUCUUUAGAUAGACAUUUUUGUUAUUUUUGAGGACUGCAUGAGCAUUUUUUGUUCUUAGAAGUGUAGGACGGAAGAAGUGUGGGGGUAGCGGAAGGGAAUUGGAAAUGGUUAGAAUCACUUGUUUGUUGUAGACAUUUUCCGCGUUUUGUGUGUGUGUGUGUGUGCCCAUACACACGUGUACAGAUAUGUCUGUUGCUGUACUUCUGCUUUCAAAUUUUUAUAUCUUGUUUGGCAUCUUAAAGGCUCCUUAUUGCAUCUCUCCUUGAACAAGAUAUAUUUUAAUGAUGUUUGUUACAAACUUUCAGGUACUAGCCAUAUUAACACUUUCUGAUUAUAUACCUGGAAAUAGAAUUUCCAUUCUGGAAGAAGCAUUUAACCGAAACCUAUUGGCAUCUUUUCUUCUGGCUAAUGUGCUGACGGGGUUAGUGAACUUGUCCAUUGACACGCUCUUUGUUUCACCAGCCACUGCCCUUGCCAUCCUGCUUCUUUAUCAAUUUACUUUAUGUGCUUUCGUUGGAUGUGCAUACUUCUUUGGCGUCAAGUUGAAAUUUUGGUAGCGGACCUUGCUUCCGCUUUGCCAAUUGAAUCCUAACUGCUUUUUGGGCCACAAUUGAACUUUUAAACUUGUAGUUUGCUUAUUUUAUCUCUACCAUGUAACUUUCAUAUCCACGAGGCAGUCACAAUUAUGUUCUACAAAAAUUUGCUUCUCAAGGAGUUCCCUUUGACUUGAAUGGACUUCAAAUCUUUGGGGGUUUCAGUACCUGGUUGAGACAAUUGUGUCCAACCCAUCAACGAAGUUGCCCACACAAUGAAGUUCACAUGCAUCUCUGCUUGUUGAAUUGCCUAUUGCAUAAGCUCAAGUAUCAUUUGCCUAUAAGGAGUUUGUGUACACGUACAACUCAUAGAGUUUGGGUUGUACGUUCUUUUCUCUCCUAACAUUAUUGUUUGUGCAUGGCUACUAUGCUAGAUUGCAUUUUAUCCGUACCCACAAAGCCAUUAAGCAGUACUACAGUGUACUACUACUAGACAGUAGUAGAGUAAAAAGUAAAAGGACACUAAAGGCUGAGCUGAAGCCUAAAAAGGCAUUGGCCAAUAUGUAUUCCUUCCCUUCCAUUCUUGGGUCAAAAGCAAAUUUUAAAGAGAGUUUUAACUUCAAUGUGAAUAUA